UACGUAGGGUGCGAGCGUUGUCCGGAAUUAUUGGGCGUAAAGGGCUCGUAGGCGGUUUGUCGCGUCGGGAGUGAAAACACCGGGCUUAACUCGGUGCUUGCUUUCGAUACGGGCAGACUAGAGGUAUGCAGGGGGAGAACGGAAUUCCUGGUGUAGCGGUGAAAUGCGCAGAUAUCAGGAGGAACACCGGUGGCGAAGGCGGUUCUCUGGGCAUUACCUGACGCUGAGGAGCGAAAGCGUGGGGAGCGAACAGG
rnacentral:rRNA from 1 species